AGACACAGUACGUGCAUGUAGUAUACGGUCAGACGUAGGUGCAAAUGGGUAGCCUCAGGCAAUGAAGCACUCAAAGGAGGAAGCCUGUAGACGGCACAGCACACUCCGCAAAUUAAGCUGCCGGGCAAGCAGAUUCCACCACAGCAGUCGGAUAUCUCAUGGCGCACCUGUGGAGAGGGGAGCCCACGGGUAUCACACGAAAUAUCAACAAAAAGUCUUAUCAAGCCUGUUCACUGGUGUGAUAAUGAUAAAACUUUCAUCCAACGCUUUUCAUCUGUGGCUACUUCUUCGUCUUUGAACGUGGAAAAGAUGUGUGUCACAUAAUACCCUCCUUUUUCUUCAUAACCCAGAGCUGCUGAAAGGAUGGAGCAACCGGGAGCUUAACGCCAUAUGAAUUAUUAUCAUUCAGUGUUGGGGCCCCGGAUAUCUUCUGUAACCAACCAUCUACACUGGAUUACCUAUAAUACAGGAGGCGCUGUUUAUCCGAUCAGCCACGGAAUAAUAAAGACGCGAUAGCACGUCUCUGAAUGGAAGAUCACAUGACUGCUAAACCAUGCCGUGAUUGGCCUUUCCAGCCGUUAUAGUAUCUCAGAGCAGGGCAAUCGGGUUUGCCCUGACGAAGCUAAAGUGAAACGUGCACGUGGGCGUUUCAGAGCGGCGUUAGCACGCCAGCUCACCUGCUUAUGUGUCCGCAUUAAGAAAUGAUUGUAUGUGCAAUGCUUAGCCUAUUCAUGUAGUCCUAAAUACUAUGUACAAUUCAUGGAACGUGUUUGUAGUCAGGGAAGGGGAUAGGACCGGUGCUUAUCAUGAUGAAUAGAAUUUAAUAAUCAAAAUUUGCUUAGCAGCGGGACCCAAUGCUUACUAUGAGGUAGAAUUAGAAUCUCAAUAUAUCAGUACAAGCACACCUGAUUGAACCAAACUAGUCCAGCAUGCAGAUGUAGCUCAGUGUUGGUAUGGGAAAACCAGUGCAAUAGACACACACAGUGAUAGCUCACAUAUGAAUAUAUGCUGGUAAUUUAAAUCAGCACAAUAUAUUGGUAGUCAGGGAAGGAGACAGGACCGGUGUUUAUCAUAAUAAAUAGAAUUUAAUAAUCAAAAUGUGUUUAACAGCGGGACCUGAUGCUUAAUAUGAGGUAGAAUUAGAAUCUCAAUAUACCAGUAUAAGCACGCCUGACUAAACCAAACCAGUCCAGCAUACAGUUGUAGCUCAGUGUUGGUAUGGGAAAAUCAGUGCAAUAGAUACACACAGUGAUAGCUCAUAUACGAAUAUAUGCUGGUAAUUUAAAUCAGCUAAAUAUAUCGAUAUAGCCCAAUGUAGGUUAGGGUAUUUCUGUGCAACAAACACACAUAGUAACACAGUUUAUUUCCAGUAAAAAGCUCAUGUGGUGGGACUGCAUCUUAUUAAAGGGUAUACAAAUAUUUCCAGCAGGACAGUAUAUGCCAGAAACGGAUACACAGUUCAACUAUAAUAAAUGAAUUGUAAACCUGCAGCUCCAGAUGUAACUGUUGCAAUGUUUAGAACAACACCGUAAGAGUUAUGGAUUGUUGCAAUUUUCAAGACAGCAACAGAUUAGUUACAUGAGAGAGACACAAAUGAGGAGCCAGCACAGUACUCAGGCUGUGGAUACUUUGUGUAAUAAAUGCACACUGCAGACAGCUUAUAUUUACUCUAUAUAAAUCCAUGUGAUAUAGCUAUAUCUCUGAUGCGCAAAUGUCCUCUGCAGGUUAUUCUGCACAGCAAAUGAAUAUAGGAGUUUACAUAUGAUUGUUUAACGGAGGCUCAUGUGGGGCAGGUGUAUUUUAAUAACAGCUAAUACCAAUGUCUCCCGCAUGUUAUAUUAUGCAAGAGAGGGGCAUAACAGUUCAUCCCUGUUUAAGGGUAUAGAAACCCCCUGUACCAGUUAUAACUGUCGUAGCAUUCCAGCCACAUGAUGGAUAAAUGAGCUUAUACAUACACUGCGGACAGCUCACAUUCAUUCAAUAAUUUAUGUGGUGGUGUUGUAUCUCUGACAUGUACAUACCUCUGUAAGAUACUCUGUAUAACUAAUAAAUACAGCAGCAUAUAUGUGACUGGUCAACAGAGGACCUAUGAGCAAUCUGCAGUCUCAGUGCUAAUAAUUAUUUUUGGGACUGUGUUAUAAUUCUCACAGAUUUGGGGUGGGGGAAAAAAACCCUGAGAGAGAAACAGUGGAGCCAUAAUUGAGUUACAACUGUUAAAUCACAUGCUCUAACAUUUGUCCACUGUCACUGUGUGUAGGACAGAUGCAUUUCGGUUCCAUGUACAUGUGCAUAGGUAUGGAUAUGGAAUAAAGAUUUAGCCGCAAAUUCUUAAUCAUCAUUGGAUAUAUCAUUAUACCCUUUCAUAAUUUGAAUUGAUAAAGGCAUCCUAACCAACAAGGGUUUAAUUAGAAUAAUCAACAAGUUGCGGUUAUUUCUAAGUUAUUAUUGCACACACUUAGGAACUAUAAAGUCAUAUAAAUACAAUAAAGACACAUAGGAGGAUCUGUUGUCAUUAUAUUUUAUUAUAUGUAAUGUUUGUGAUUGUUGUCUCAUGAUUUUUCACGCUCUCAGGCAUUUUAAUCAUAUGAAAUUAAAAGUUAUAUUUUAAAUA